UUAAUAAUAACUUAUAAUCUGUAUAAAUUAUGAAAUAAAUAAAAUAGAUUAUUCGCACAAAGUUAACAUCUUUGGUAUAUGAUUUCGAUGCAGCCAAGAUCCCUUUCCCACUUAAGGGCCUUACUUGUAACAUAAGAGGAGUAGGGAGACGCACCAAUCCGGGCCCGUUUACUUUUAUUCCCCUACCCGCAACUUCUGCAAUUCCAUUUUCAAACGCAUCAUUCCUUCACAUUCUGUCUCGUGAUGCCGUUGUUGGUUUAGAUCGUGCAUUUCCUUUCUCAUCAUAUUUUCAUUAGAAUAUCUUUGCACAUAAUAUACGUUUCAUCAAGUUUAAACUUCAUAAAUCAAAGGAUUUGUUCGAUGGCCUUGGAUGGGUUUGAAUUCAGUCCACGUUUUUUAUUUUUAUUCGUGACUAGAUCCACACUCAUCCAAGGAAAUCGAGCUCAUGUUCAAAAACGAUCUUCAAGAAACCUGUUUGUUGGAUUUUAAUGUUUUUUCAAUAGUUUUGUGUUUUAUUAUAAUCAGUUUAUACAAAUUAACGAAGUAAACAAGAGAAAAGAAAAGUUAGUUAUUAAUGUUAGAUGAACAAAUAUGUAUUACCAUUACAUACCAUGAACUAAUACAGCUGCAACUUCUUGAUGAAGACACUGAGCAGUUACACAAGCAGCAUUUAAAGCACUUUGUACAGCAGAUAACCAUCCACUAUUAUCAAGUCUUGAAAUCCACUGGGAAGUAGAACAUGUUAUGUCAUUACAAGCCUCUAUUAAUUUAAAAAAACUAUCUGCUAAAUCAUGCGACCGUGGAAUUGCUUUAUGUACUUUCCGCCACUGCGGAUAAGCAGCAUCCAUUUCUGUACCACCACCCUUAGCUCUGGAACUUUGAGCUUGUGCAAUUGACCUUGUAUCUAUUAUAUAACUAUUAACAAAUUUUGCAUUAAUGAUAUUGUUUAGAUUGCAGAAAUAUAAUUUUCUAUUGUUGAACAUUAAAAUUGAUCAAAUCAUAAUUUAAAAUUUCUAAGACUAAUUAAAAUAUAAGUUUAAAUAUAUAUUAUAUUUACCCACGUCUUCCUGGACCUAAGACUGCAUUUAAUAAUCUUUCAUCUUCUUUGCAUCUUUUACCAUUAGUACCACACAUUGGUUGACUGCUUCUUAACAA